rnacentral:rRNA from 1 species
CCAGACUCCUACGGGAGGCAGCAGUGAGGAAUAUUGGUCAAUGGGCGGGAGCCUGAACCAGCCAAGCCGCGUGAAGGAAGAAGGCGCCAAGCGUCGUAAACUUCUUUUGUCGGGGAACAAAGGGCGCCACGUGUGGCGUUGUGAGUGUACCCGAAGAAAAAGCAUCGGCUAACUCCGUGCCAGCAGCCGCGGUAAUACGGAGGAUGCGAGCGUUAUCCGGAUUUAUUGGGUUUAAAGGGUGCGCAGGCGGAGGUGCAAGUCAGCGGUCAAAUUGCGGGGCUCAACCCCGUACUGCCGUUGAAACUGCAUCCCUUGAGUGCGCGAGAAGUAUGCGGAAUGCGUGGUGUAGCGGUGAAAUGCAUAGAUAUCACGCAGAACUCCGAUUGCGAAGGCAGCAUACCGGCGCGCAACUGACGCUCAUGCACGAAAGCGUGGGUAUCGAACAGGAUUAGAUACCCGUGUA